rnacentral:lncRNA from 1 species
AUCACAGAGUUUCAGACACGUAGGACUCAUAGUCCAUGAGUAUUAGGACUCUUCAUCAGCCAUCAGAUCAGAUAGGAACCUCUAAUGUGUGUGACCCCGCAGGUUCGAACCUAAGCCGGUAGCACAGGAACCAAUUCCUGUACUAAUCGAAGUGACCAUCUAGCAAUGAUACCCGAUGACCGGAUAGAUCGAAUGGUCACAAUCGCAACAUUCAGAACCUACGUGAAUAUGGUUACUGUAUAAUUCAUCCUUUUGACCUCUGUGUUUAGGACAACUCAGGGUUAAACUGUCAACUCUGAUUAGAUCAUCCGAAUCGUGCUCAACUCAAACAGUUCUGUGACUCCUCACAAAGACUAUCCUGGCCAAAGUUUUGCUAAAUUGAAACAUGACUGUACACAGCUCCUAAACUGGAGUGGUCAAUCCCAU